AAGUUUCAGGUGUGGGAUUUAUUUCAGUACAUGCCCGUGGUUAAUUCUUGUCCAUUUUAAUAUCAUGUGUUUACCAUAUGUGAGUUGCAUUAAAUUAUAUCGCUAGGGGCCCGCUCAAUGGGUCCAGGACUUCACCGUCCUUGGUAUGCCACAAUGCGAUUUCAUGUUAAAGUUAUGGUUGCAACCAGUCGCCAGGGGCCGGCUCAAUCGGUCCAGGACGGAAAGGUCCUUGGUAUGCCACCGUGCGACUUUCAGUCACGAAUGUAUUGAUCAUAUGUGAUUCUCAUUUUAUUAACGUGUGGGAUUUAUUUCAGUACAUGCCCGUGGUUAAUUCUUGUCCAUUUUAAUAUCAUGUGUUUACCAUAUGUGAGUUGCAUUAAAUUAUAUCGCUAGGGGCCCGCUCAAUGGGUCCAGGACUUCACCGUCCUUGGUAUGCCACAAUGCGAUUUCAUGUUAAAGUUAUGGUUGCAACCAGUCGCCAGGGGCCGGCUCAAUCGGUCCAGGACGGAAAGGUCCUUGGUAUGCCACCGUGCGACUUUCAGUCACGAAUGUAUUGAUCAUAUGUGAUUCUCAUUUUAUUAACGUGGACAAUUAUUGCAUGUUCC